rnacentral:rRNA from 1 species
UACGAAGGGUGCAAACGUUGCUCGGCAUUAUUGGGCGUAAAGCGCACGUAGGCGGCUCUGCAAGUCGGAUGUGAAAUCCCUCGGCUCAACCAAGGAAGUGCAUCCGAAACUGUAAAGCUUGAGUACCAAAGAGGAUCGCGGAAUUCCCGGUGUAGAGGUGAAAUUCGUAGAUAUCGGGAGGAACACCAGUGGCGAAGGCGGCGAUCUGGGUGGAUACUGACGCUGAGGUGCGAAAGCGUGGGGAGCAAACAGG